rnacentral:tRNA from 1 species
UGAGAAAGGAGGGAUUCGAACCCCGAACCACAAAUGGAACAGAUUUACAGUCUGUCGCUUUUGACCACUCAGCCACUCUCUC